CGGGCCGGGGCUGAGAAGAAAUCCUCGGGCAGCUCUCCCAGGAGCCCGUCCAGGUCAUCUGCAGGGCACAGAGGAUGUCAGAGUGCUAUGGAAUGGGAACAAGGAUGUACCACAUGAAUACACCAAUUCCUCUUAUCCCCUUA